UGGCCAAAAAGUUCGUUCGGGUUUUUCCAUAACACCUUACAGAACGAACUUUUUGGCCAACCCA
rnacentral:miRNA from 1 species